ACAUGCAAGUCGAACGAACUUAACCAUUAGUUUACUAUUGGAGCGGUUAGUGGCGGACUGGUGAGUAACACGUAAGCAACCUGCCCAUCAGAGGGGAACAACAGUUAGAAAUGACUGCUAAUACCGCAUAUGCCUUAGAAUCACAUGGUUCAAAAGGGAAAGGAGCAAUCCGCUGAUAGAUGGGCUUGCGUCUGAUUAGCUAGUUGGUGGGGUAAUGGCCUACCAAGGCAACGAUCAGUAGCCGAACUGAGAGGUUGAACGGCCACAUUGGGACUGAGAUACGGCCCAGACUCCUACGGGAGGCAGCAGUCGGGAAUAUUGCGCAAUGGAGGAAACUCUGACGCAGUGACGCCGCGUGCAGGAAGAAGGUUUUCGGAUUGUAAACUGCUUUAGACAGGGAAGAACAAAGACAGUACCUGUAGAAUAAGCUCCGGCUAACUACGUGCCAGCAGCCGCGGUAAUACGUAGGGAGCGAGCGUUAUCCGGAUUUAUUGGGUGUAAAGGGUGCGUAGACGGGAAGUCAAGUUAGUUGUGAAAUCCCUCGGCUUAACUGAGGAACUGCAACUAAAACUGAUUUUCUUGAGUACUGGAGAGGAAAGUGGAAUUCCUAGUGUAGCGGUGAAAUGCGUAGAUAUUAGGAGGAACACCGGUGGCGAAGGCGACUUUCUGGACAGAAACUGACGUUGAGGCACGAAAGUGUGGGGAGCAAACAGGAUUAGAUACCCUGGUAGUCCACACCGUAAACGAUGGAUACUAGGUGUAGGGGAUAUUAAAAUUCUCUGUGCCGCCGCUAACGCAAUAAGUAUCCCACCUGGGGAGUACGGCCGCAAGG
rnacentral:rRNA from 1 species